UGACUCCUACGGGGCGCAGCAGUGGGGAAUAUUGCACAAUGGGGGAAACCCUGAUGCAGCAACGCCGCGUGAGUGAAGAAGUAUUUCGGUAUGUAAAGCUCCAUCAGCAGGGAAGAGAAUGACGGUACCUGACUAAGAAGCCCCGGCUAACUACGUGCCAGCAGCCGCGGUAAUACGUAGGGGGCAAGCGUUAUCCGGAUUUACUGGGUGUAAAGGGAGCGUAGACGGCAGUGCAAGUCUGGAGUGAAAGGCGGGGGCUCAACCCCCGGACUGCUCUGGCAACUGUACGGCUGGAGUGCAGGAGG
rnacentral:rRNA from 1 species